UACGGGGGGGGCAAGCGUUGUUCGGAAUUACUGGGCGUAAAGGGCUCGUAGGCGGCCAACUAAGUCGGACGUGAAAUCCCUCGGCUCAACCGGGGAACUGCGUCCGAUACUGGAUGGCUUGAGUUCGGGAGAGGGAUGCGGAAUUCCAGGUGUAGCGGUGAAAUGCGUAGAUAUCUGGAGGAGCACCGGUGGCGAAGGCGGCAUCCUGGACCGAUACUGACGCUGAGGAGCGAAAGCCAGGGGAGCAAACGGG
rnacentral:rRNA from 1 species